rnacentral:lncRNA from 1 species
UUUUGACUAAAAAAAUAAAAUCAAAAGAUUAAAAAUGGAAAAAAGUCAGGCACCGAAAUGCUAAAAAAAACGAUUGCGCCAUAAUGAUCAACGCGAAAUAAACAACUCGGAAACAUACAGGGUUUUGUCAACUUUUGAAAUGGAAAAUGCCUGGUUAAAACGCUCAGACGGAUCAAAAAGUGACUGAUAAAUAGUCGAAAAAAU